GCCCACAUAGCUCAGCUGGAUAGAGCAUGCGCCUUCUAAGCGCAGGGUCACAGGUUCGAAUCCUGCUGUGGGUG
rnacentral:tRNA from 1 species